GACGAACGCUGGCGGCGUGCUUAACACGUGCAAGUCGAACGGUGAAGGGGAGCUUGCUCCCCGGAUCAGUGGCGAACGGGUGAGUAACACGUGGGCAACCUGCCCCAGACUUCGGGAUAACGCUUCGAAAGAGGUGCUAAUACCGGAUACGAACUCCUUGGGCAUCCUUGGGGUUGGAAAGUUUUUCGGUCUGGGAUGGGCCCGCGGCCUAUCAGCUUGUUGGUGAGGUAACGGCUCACCAAGGCGACGACGGGUAGCCGGCCUGAGAGGGCGACCGGCCACACUGGGACUGAGACACGGCCCAGACUCCUACGGGAGGCAGCAGUGGGGAAUAUUGGGCAAUGGGGGCAACCCUGACCCAGCGACGCCGCGUGAGGGAAGAAGGCCUUCGGGUCGUAAACUUCUUUUGUACGUGAAGAAGCAGAUGACGGUAGCGUACGAAUAAGUCCCGGCUAACUACGUGCCAGCAGCCGCCGUAA
rnacentral:rRNA from 1 species